CCUACGGGGGGCAGCAGUGAGGAAUAUUGGUCAAUGGACGAGAGUCUGAACCAGCCAAGUAGCGUGAAGGAUGACUGCCCUAUGGGUUGUAAACUUCUUUUAUAUGGGAAUAAAACGUUCCACGUGUGGGAUUUUGUAUGUACCAUAUGAAUAAGGAUCGGCUAACUCCGUGCCAGCAGCCGCGGUAAUACGGAGGAUCCGAGCGUUAUCCGGAUUUAUUGGGUUUAAAGGGAGCGUAGGUGGAUUGUUAAGUCGGUUGUGAAAGUUUGCGGCUCAACCGUAAAAUUGCAGUUGAAACUGGCAGUCUUGAGUACAGUAGAGGUGGGCGGAAUUCGUGGUGUAGCGGUGAAAUGCUUAGAUAUCACGAAGAACUCCGAUUGCGAAGGCAGUUCACUGGACUGCAACUGACACUGAGGCUCGAAAGUGUGGGUAUCAAACAGGAUUAGAUACCCCUGUAGUC
rnacentral:rRNA from 1 species